rnacentral:rRNA from 1 species
UUAAGCGACUAAGCGUACACGGUGGAUGCCCUGGCAGUCAGAGGCGAUGAAGGACGUGCUAAUCUGCGAUAAGCGUCGGUAAGGUGAUAUGAACCGUUAUAACCGGCGAUUUCCGAAUGGGGAAACCCAGUGUGUUUCGACACACUAUCAUUAACUGAAUCCAUAGGUUAAUGAGGCGAACCGGGGGAACUGAAACAUCUAAGUACCCCGAGGAAAAGAAAUCAACCGAGAUUCCCCCAGUAGCGGCGAGCGAACGGGGAGCAGCCCAGAGCCUGAAUCAGUGUGUGUGUUAGUGGAAGCGUCUGGAAAGGCGCGCGAUACAGGGUGACAGCCCCGUACACAAAAAUGCACAUACUGUGAGCUCGAUGAGUAGGGCGGGACACGUGGUAUCCUGUCUGAAUAUGGGGGGACCAUCCUCCAAGGCUAAAUACUCCUGACUGACCGAUAGUGAACCAGUACCGUGAGGGAAAGGCGAAAAGAACCCCGGCGAGGGGAGUGAAAAAGAACCUGAAACCGUGUACGUACAAGCAGUGGGAGCACGCUUCGGCGUGUGACUGCGUACCUUUUGUAUAAUGGGUCAGCGACUUAUAUUCUGUAGCAAGGUUAACCGAAUAGGGGAGCCGAAGGGAAACCGAGUCUUAACUGGGCGUUAAGUUGCAGGGUAUAGACCCGAAACCCGGUGAUCUAGCCAUGGGCAGGUUGAAGGUUGGGUAACACUAACUGGAGGACCGAACCGACUAAUGUUGAAAAAUUAGCGGAUGACUUGUGGCUGGGGGUGAAAGGCCAAUCAAACCGGGAGAUAGCUGGUUCUCCCCGAAAGCUAUUUAGGUAGCGCCUCGUGAAUUCAUCUCCGGGGGUAGAGCACUGUUUCGGCAAGGGGGUCAUCCCGACUUACCAACCCGAUGCAAACUGCGAAUACCGGAGAAUGUUAUCACGGGAGACACACGGCGGGUGCUAACGUCCGUCGUGAAGAGGGAAACAACCCAGACCGCCAGCUAAGGUCCCAAAGUCAUGGUUAAGUGGGAAACGAUGUGGGAAGGCCCAGACAGCCAGGAUGUUGGCUUAGAAGCAGCCAUCAUUUAAAGAAAGCGUAAUAGCUCACUGGUCGAGUCGGCCUGCGCGGAAGAUGUAACGGGGCUAAACCAUGCACCGAAGCUGCGGCAGCGACACUAUGUGUUGUUGGGUAGGGGAGCGUUCUGUAAGCCUGUGAAGGUGUACUGUGAGGUAUGCUGGAGGUAUCAGAAGUGCGAAUGCUGACAUAAGUAACGAUAAAGCGGGUGAAAAGCCCGCUCGCCGGAAGACCAAGGGUUCCUGUCCAACGUUAAUCGGGGCAGGGUGAGUCGACCCCUAAGGCGAGGCCGAAAGGCGUAGUCGAUGGGAAACAGGUUAAUAUUCCUGUACUUGGUGUUACUGCGAAGGGGGGACGGAGAAGGCUAUGUUGGCCGGGCGACGGUUGUCCCGGUUUAAGCGUGUAGGCUGGUUUUCCAGGCAAAUCCGGAAAAUCAAGGCUGAGGCGUGAUGACGAGGCACUACGGUGCUGAAGCAACAAAUGCCCUGCUUCCAGGAAAAGCCUCUAAGCAUCAGGUAACAUUAAAUCGUACCCCAAACCGACACAGGUGGUCAGGUAGAGAAUACCAAGGCGCUUGAGAGAACUCGGGUGAAGGAACUAGGCAAAAUGGUGCCGUAACUUCGGGAGAAGGCACGCUGAUAUGUAGGUGAAGUCCCUCGCGGAUGGAGCUGAAAUCAGUCGAAGAUACCAGCUGGCUGCAACUGUUUAUUAAAAACACAGCACUGUGCAAACACGAAAGUGGACGUAUACGGUGUGACGCCUGCCCGGUGCCGGAAGGUUAAUUGAUGGGGUUAGCGGUAACGCGAAGCUCUUGAUCGAAGCCCCGGUAAACGGCGGCCGUAACUAUAACGGUCCUAAGGUAGCGAAAUUCCUUGUCGGGUAAGUUCCGACCUGCACGAAUGGCGUAAUGAUGGCCAGGCUGUCUCCACCCGAGACUCAGUGAAAUUGAACUCGCUGUGAAGAUGCAGUGUACCCGCGGCAAGACGGAAAGACCCCGUGAACCUUUACUAUAGCUUGACACUGAACAUUGAGCCUUGAUGUGUAGGAUAGGUGGGAGGCUUUGAAGUGUGGACGCCAGUCUGCAUGGAGCCGACCUUGAAAUACCACCCUUUAAUGUUUGAUGUUCUAACGUUGACCCGUGAUCCGGGUUGCGGACAGUGUCUGGUGGGUAGUUUGACUGGGGCGGUCUCCUCCUAAAGAGUAACGGAGGAGCACGAAGGUUGGCUAAUCCUGGUCGGACAUCAGGAGGUUAGUGCAAUGGCAUAAGCCAGCUUGACUGCGAGCGUGACGGCGCGAGCAGGUGCGAAAGCAGGUCAUAGUGAUCCGGUGGUUCUGAAUGGAAGGGCCAUCGCUCAACGGAUAAAAGGUACUCCGGGGAUAACAGGCUGAUACCGCCCAAGAGUUCAUAUCGACGGCGGUGUUUGGCACCUCGAUGUCGGCUCAUCACAUCCUGGGGCUGAAGUAGGUCCCAAGGGUAUGGCUGUUCGCCAUUUAAAGUGGUACGCGAGCUGGGUUUAGAACGUCGUGAGACAGUUCGGUCCCUAUCUGCCGUGGGCGCUGGAGAACUGAGGGGGGCUGCUCCUAGUACGAGAGGACCGGAGUGGACGCAUCACUGGUGUUCGGGUUGUCAUGCCAAUGGCACUGCCCGGUAGCUAAAUGCGGAAGAGAUAAGUGCUGAAAGCAUCUAAGCACGAAACUUGCCCCGAGAUGAGUUCUCCCUGACUCCUUGAGAGUCCUGAAGGAACGUUGAAGACGACGACGUUGAUAGGCCGGGUGUGUAAGCGCAGCGAUGCGUUGAGCUAACCGGUACUAAUGAACCGUGAGGCUUAACCUU